rnacentral:rRNA from 1 species
UACGUAGGGUGCAAGCGUUAUCCGGAAUUAUUGGGCGUAAAGAGCUCGUAGGCGGUUGUCGCGUCUGCUGUGAAAACUGGAGGCUCAACCUCCAGCCUGCAGUGGGUACGGGCAGACUAGAGUGCGGUAGGGGAGAUUGGAAUUCCUGGUGUAGCGGUGGAAUGCGCAGAUAUCAGGAGGAACACCGAUGGCGAAGGCAGAUCUCUGGGCCGAUACUGACGCUGAGGAGCGAAAGCGUGGGGAGCGAACAGG